rnacentral:rRNA from 1 species
GACGAACGCUGGCGGCGUGCUUAACACAUGCAAGUCGAACGGAAAGGCCCUGCUUUUGUGGGGUGCUCGAGUGGCGAACGGGUGAGUAACACGUGAGUAACCUGCCCUUGACUUUGGGAUAACUUCAGGAAACUGGGGCUAAUACCAGAUAGGAGCUCCUGCUGCAUGGUGGGGGUUGGAAAGUUUCGGCGGUUGGGGACGGACUCGCGGCUUAUCAGCUUGUUGGUGGGGUAGUGGCUUACCAAGGCUUUGACGGGUAGCCGGCCUGAGAGGGUGACCGGCCACAUUGGGACUGAGAUACGGCCCAGACUCCUACGGGAGGCAGCAGUGGGGAAUAUUGCACAAUGGGCGGAAGCCUGAUGCAGCAACGCCGCGUGCGGGAUGACGGCCUUCGGGUUGUAAACCGCUUUCGCCUGUGACGAAGCGUGAGUGACGGUAAUGGGUAAAGAAGCACCGGCUAACUACGUG